UACGUAGGGUGCGAGCGUUAAUCGGAAUUACUGGGCGUAAAGCGUGCGCAGGCGGUGAUGUAAGACCGAUGUGAAAUCCCCGGGCUCAACCCGGGAACUGCGUCCGAUACUGGAAGGCUUGAAUCCGGGAGAGGGAUGCGGAAUUCCAGGUGUAGCGGUGAAAUGCGUAGAUAUCUGGAGGAACACCGGUGGCGAAGGCGGCAUCCUGGACCGGCAUUGACGCUGAGGCGCGAAAGCCAGGGGAGCAAACGGG
rnacentral:rRNA from 1 species